rnacentral:lncRNA from 1 species
UUUUUUUUAUCGGUGGCAGAACAAGGCAGUCAUGCCGAGUUUUCGGCGCCUCCAGGUAGCAAAAGUACAGCCUCCGAGAUUUAGCGGUUGCCUCCGAGACGUAGCCGUGACUGGUCUUUGGGGCGUCACCGAUUAUUCCAGCUGGCAGGUGACGCGCUACGGAAAUAGCCAAGAAUAGCCAUAGCAGGUACAAGCGAGUACUGUAGUUCAAUAAAGCAAUUAUGACGGCAAGCAC